GUUUUCCAUUGAUAAACACUUAUACAAUCUCUCACUCUUCCCACCUCCCUUUACCGCCGCCGCAAAUCUCCGGCGCCGAUCAGACAAACGACACCGUUUCAAUGGCCGGAAUAAUUUAUCCUCCGCCGUCCUCUUCACAAUCCGCCAUCAUUCACGUCAACAACAAAAACACAUCUCUCCUCGGCAGCUCCGGCUCCGGCGGCGCUAUUCUGCGAAUGAGAAGCUUAAAACGGCUACAAACGACGAAGUCGGCGAUUUCUGUAUCGCAGAAUAGUUCAGUUAGUUGCGUUGAAUUAUCUGAAAAGGAUAAUGGUCAAAGGAUUAAGAAGAGUCCGAUUAUUGUUAUUGAUAAUUAUGAUAGCUUCACUUAUAAUCUCUGUCAGUAUAUGGGAGAGCUUGGAUGCAAUUUCGAGGUUUAUCGGAACGACGAGCUUACUGUGGAUGAACUGAAGAAGAAAAAUCCAAGGGGAAUAUUAAUUUCACCUGGACCAGGUACACCUCAGGAUUCAGGGAUAUCACUGCAGACCGUACUGGAACUUGGACCAACUGUUCCGUUAUUUGGUGUUUGUAUGGGUUUGCAAUGCAUGGGAGAGGCUUUUGGAGGAAAGGUUGUGCGUUCUCCAUAUGGGGUGAUGCAUGGAAAAAGCUCCCCCGUAUAUUUUAAUGAAGGUGGGGAAGAUGGCCUAUUUGCAGGGCUAUCAAACCCAUUCACAGCCGGUAGAUACCACAGUCUGGUAAUAGACAAGGCCACUUUCCCCCAAGACGCCCUUGAGAUAACUGCAUGGACAGAAGAUGGUCUUAUCAUGGCUGCUCGUCACAAAGUUUACAGACACAUACAGGGGGUACAAUUCCAUCCUGAAAGCAUCAUCACAACUGAAGGCAAGACAAUAGUUGGCAAUUUUGUGAAAUUGAUAGAGAGGAAGGAAGAAGAAGCAGGAUCUCAAUCUCAAAACUAGACAACUCUCUUUACUCACUGUACAAUAUUGUGGUCUUGCCUCACUAAAACGAUGCAAAGAAGGUAUUGAUGAGCCGAGGGGUCUACCGGAAACAAUCUCUCUAUCACAAAGGUAGGGGUAAGGUCCGUGUACAUUCUACUCUCUUCGGACUCCACUUGUUCGAUUAUACUUUUCUUCUUGUUUUAACUUUAUUGCUUUAGUCCUUAAAAAGAAGUGAUCAGUAAAUUUCUUCAAGACAACAAACAAAGCCUUUGUGUUUUCUUUUUAUCUUUUGAUAUCAUCACCUUUAACGGGUCUUGCAUAAUUAUUGAAUAUCCAACUUCCUCAAAAUCUGUAAUAUUCUCUUAUGGUGGAUAUUCAGCAUAUACGCACUCGAAAUUUCUUAUUUUAUCUCUAAAUAACUACUGUAUUGUUUAUUUAUCUAGAAAAUACAAUAAAAUCAUUAUAAGUUGUAAGAGUUGACUAAAAUAUUUAAUUAGUUAUUGUGGAA